UGAGGUUCUUGGUUCUUGGUUUCUUGGUCCUCCAAAAUAUUCCAAAUGGAAUUUAAACUGGAGGUGGUGAAGGGAGGGCUUAAGCCAGAAAGGGUUAUUGGGAAGAAAGAGCUACUUUAAAUUUAGUUGCAUCUGGUUGGGUAGCUAUAGUUGGGUGGUGAUUAUUCAAUGCUUUAAUUGUGCGGGGGAAGAACAAAUUGCUGUAUACAUCUGUCUUUGUAGCUGGGAUCACAAAUUGGAUUGAAUGCCCUUGUCUGCUCCUAAUUAGUUUGGGUUUGGUGUAGGUCUUGUUGUCUAUGUCGAGCUGACCAUUUAACAUUUUGUAAAAACAGGUCAAACGGUGAGCUUCAUGUCUGUCUUGGAGAGGGUUCCACCCCAGAGAAUUCAGAAGUUUGGUGACACUCGCUUCUCUCUCAUAGGUGUUAGUAACAAAUCAAGCUGCCUGUCUUUGGACACGUUCGAUGGAAGAAAUGUUUUUAUUUGUGUAUGGGUCCGAUGCUGCAACUGCGUAGUCCAAAUGAGUUUUGGAAUGUUUCUGGAUGUUUUACGAAGUCAUUCAAGCCCAGAAUCUUCUUGAUGAAUGUCCAGAGUUCUAACCAGAACUGCGGAUGCUUACUUGUUUAAAAAGAGGUAUCAUGCCAAAGAAUUGCCACUUGGAUGCUGUGCCACUGUGGAACUGGCAAGGGAUCUCAACCCUAACGACUUCAAAGGAGACUGCAGCACGCGAUGCUCACUCUCAUGCGAAACACAUUGGAAACUCGCUGUCCCUCUGCAAAUGCCAGGAUGCGUCAUGAUCCACAACCCAGGCUUUGAUGAAAAUCUACCAGCUCGAUCUGGAUGAAAGCUACAAAGAGUUUGAGCUUUCAUUGUCGGCAGGGUGAACUACCCCAACCCGCGAGACAAUGAAAAGUAACCACAACAUUUCACUUUAUUAGAUCACAUAUGGAUUCAAUUAUUUUCCUUGCCAUCUCCAUCUGGUGAAGAACCUAUUUAAAUUCCAAAAUAGAACACUGAGAUAAUGUGACAGGGAGUCAGUAUGCAUUUUUAUAAUAAAGAAUCCUGGUGGUUUGGAUUUGAGAUGGAAUAGGCUUCCAACACGACUCAAUGCUUUCUAUAAACAGAAAGACUAAGAGUGAAGUUGUUACUGAAAUGCUUGUAAUCUUGAUGCAUUGAUGUAAAUAGCCAGAAGAGGUGGGCUAUUACCAUUUCCAUCGCCUUCCAGUAUAAAACAGAAACACACACAUUGUUCAGCAUAAUGAUUUGAUUCCAAUACCUCAAAUUACUCUCUCCUUUGCAAUGUUGGUCUCUAGUAUCCAAGCACGUUGCCCAGCAACCACCUUGCACACAUUGAGGAAAGCAGCAGCUCAAAACUGCAAAUGAUAAACUGCAAAGGAUUUAGGAAAACAAUCUGGCCACCAUGCUUUCAAAAAUGCUGAAUGAUCAGUUAACAAUGCCUAACGAUUUUUAAAUAAUGUAUUGUUAAGAGUGAGCCAAUUGAUUUGUGAAAUCAUUUUGUUCUUCAAGCAUCGAAACACAAUUAAAGUUCACUACAAAGAAUACACAGAGUCACAGAGUCACACAAUGUGGAAACAGGUCCUUCAGCCCAACUUGCCCACACCAACCAAUAUGUCCCAUCUUCACUUGUCCCGCCUGCCUGUAUUCGGCCCAUAUCCUUCUAAGAUAUAAAAAAAAGAAACAUAUUAAAAAAACACACUUUCUGCUCAGGCACUUCUUGAGUUGUUUAAUAAUUUCCUUAAGGUUUUUGCCAUAGGAUUCACACUCCCUUAGGCCGAUUUAUUUGCCUGUGUCUAUGACUCCAUUGCCUGAAGGCAGCUCCCAAAGUCCAAGUGUGAUAUGUUCUCUAGGUAUCCUGGCACAUGUCUCUUGCUCAAUCAGCAGGGCAGAAUUCUUUAUUUCAACGGCAUCUGUGUAAAUUUGCACUGCACAAGCUGGCAAGUAGAUUUAAUUACAAAUCAUAAUCAAAGUUCAUAAGUAAUUCAUUAACUGUGAAAUAUUCUGGAACAUUCUAAGGUCAUGAAAGAUGCUUUUGUGAGUUUCUUUUUCUUUAUAAUCUGUUGCAGCUUGACUAAAGCCUUUAUUAUCCAGCCUGCUGGCAUUAUUAAACAGUGAUUAUACUGCCUAGCCAUAGUGUUGGAUUCCUCAAGUAAAAAAAUAACUCAAAUUUACUUUCAGACUUUAACAUAGUAAAACAUCCCGAGAGGAAGGGUAUUCCACAGACUUGUGGCUUGCUGCAUGUUGCUGAGCCUAGCUCGGCAAAAUUGGCAACACAUUAAGUCAAUGGACAAAGAUCUUCAGCGGGAUGAGAGGAGGGUCUCUGACCACAGUGAAUGUACCACCUACAGUUGUGUGCAACAGAUUCGUCAGCAACAGGUCAGUGAUGUGUUCUUGCAGAAGCAUUCUUGCUGAACAAAUUGCACUUUGCAGAAAAGCAAGAUCUCAAUAUGAUUUUUAAAUUCUGAUCAUGGACAGGACAGGUUUGGAGGGAUAUGGGUCAAUCGCAGGCAGGUGGGACGAGUGUAGCUGGGACAUAGAAACAUAGAAACAUGGAAAAUAGGUGCUGGAGGAGGCCAUUCAUUGUGAUCAUGGCUGAUCGUCCCCAAUCAAUAACCCGUGCCUGCCUUCUCCCCAUAUCCCUUGAUUCCACUAGCCCCUGGAGCUCUAUCUAACUCUCUUAAAUCCAUCCAGUGAUUUGGCCUCCACUGCCCUCUGUGGCAGGGAAUUCUACAAAUUCACAACUCUGUGGGUGAAAAAGUUUUUUUCUCACCUCAGUCUUAAAUGGCCUCCCUUUUAUUCUAAGACUGUGGCACCUGGUUCUGGACUCACCCAACAUUGGGAAAAAUUUUCCUGCAUCUAGCUUGUCCAGUCCUUUUAUAAUUUUAUAUGUUCCUAUAAGAUCCCCCCUCAUCCUUCUAAACUCCAGUGAAUACAAGCCUAGUCUUUUCUACAUGUUAGCCGGUGUGGGCAAGUUGGAUCGAGGGGCCUGUUUCCACAAUGUG